UACCGUAGGUAAAGUUAGGUUAAGU
rnacentral:rRNA from 1 species